CAGAGUUGUUGACAUGUUUUGCAGACACAGAAAGGAGCAAGGGAAAGGCAGGGUUGGUGGCUAAGACGAGGUACUCACAGAGAACUGACCUCAAAGGAAGGAGCAAGAGUGUCCGGUGCCAGGGCCUGGCCUCCAUAGACGUUCUUCCUCCGAGGUUGAAAAAAAGCAGGAAGGAUAGAGGAAGGAGUUGGGCAAGGAAUGGAGAUAUUGAGCAACAAAACCGUUCCUACUCUCAGGGCUUUUGUGUGAUGCACGAAGUACAUGUGUGUGUGUGCUUGUGUGCUUGUGUGCUUGCGUGCUUAUGUGCUUAUGUGCAUUAGUUGCUUUCCUCAUUGCUGAAACAAAACACCCAACAAAAGCAAUUUAAGGAAAUAAGAGUAUCUUUGGCUCACAGUUUGAGGGAUACAGUCCAUCCUGGCGUGGGGGGCAUGCUGUUGGGGGUCUGAGGCGGCUGGUCACAUUACAACAUCAGUUAAGGAGAAGGACGUUGUGUUCUGCUCACUUCCUCUUUUUAUUCUUUCCACGGGAUGGUACCACCCACAUUUAGGGACAGUCUUUCUACCUUAGUAAACCAAUCUAGGAACGUCCUCACCACAGACGUACUCAGAAGUUUGUCUCCUAGGUGAUUUUAGACCCUGUCAAUUUGACAGUGGGACUUGGCCAUCAUAGUGUGCACGCAUGUUACUGUGUGUGUGUGGUGCAAGUGUGCAUGUACAGUUGAGCAUGUGCAGGUGAGCAUGUGCAGGUAUGCACAUGGAGGUGUGCGUGUUCCUGUGUGUGGAUGCAGGUGUGCAUGUGCAGGUGUGCAUGUGCAGGUGAGCAUGUGUAGGUGAGCAUGCAUGUGGAAGCUAGAAGACAACCUUAGGCAUUAUUUUUCAGGAGUCACCCGUCUUGUCCUUGGAAACUCUCUCCAGUUAGGUGAGGCUGACUGGCCAGGGUGCCAGGGAUCCUUUUGUCUGCUUUCCCAGUACUGAGAAUACAGGGGCUGCCGCUGCACUUGGCUUUUUCCAUGCAGAUUCUGGGGUUUAAAAGUAGAAUCUCCCACUCAAAGGGCAAGCACUUUACAGAGUAAGUGCUCUCUCCAGCCCUUGGAACUAGUUUUUUCUCUGCCUCAACCAAGGGUUUCUCUUCCCUAUGCAAGACCAGAGCAGUGGCUUUGACUUCUUCUUCCCCUAGCCUGGAGUGGAUGGGUCAUGAGUGGGUGUGUCCUUGCAGGCCACUUGCCCUUUGUCUCCCAAACUGUCAGUCAAGUUCAGGAAGCACACAGUGUCCUGAGCUCAGCAUUUCCAGAGAGCCAGGCUUCUUAACUAAAGGUGUGGUUCCAGCCUGUUCAGCGUGUGAUGGGCACUAGCUCUCUGCCAUGCGGUAGACCUGCGAUGCCCUUCCAAACUCUGAGUUCUGGAGAGGGCUAGGUAGGGAAAGCAGCUGCCGUGCCAGCAUGCGGAACUGAGUCCGGAUCUGCAGCAUCAGUGUAAAAAUAAUGGAAGAUCAUUUGUAAACUUGGCCCUGGGCAGGCUGGGGACAGUCUCUCCUACCCAAUGCUGCCAAAGAUACAUCAAAAUCAGCGCAGGAAGGAAGAGUCAAAUCCACGAAGCCAGUUUUCUUCCCAGGACCCAGCUAUAGGUUUGUGGGAGGCCUAAAACCAUGCUCCAGUCUCACCUGUGGCCCCGUUGCCAGGAAGAAGGAACCUCAGAGAUGAGAACCUAAGCAUUCUCCUCUGAUAGAGAUGGGCUCUGCCCUUGUGUCGUUCAGCGAGGAGGAGGUCAUGACCUUGUGAAGGACGAAAAUGGAAGGACCGAUGAAUUGCAGUGGCUGGAACACGCGCUGAGCCACCCCUCUCCCUUAAGUGAACAUGUAUGAGCUUAGCCAUCCCUCUCCCUCAGGUUGAGCCUCUAACCUGCAGGUGUCGGAAUUAUAAGGCAAGGCUUUGGAAGUGAUUCAGUCAUGAGUGUGGAGCUCUUUGGAAGUGAUUAAGUCAUGAGUGUGGUAGCCCUUACCAAAUGAUCAGUACCCGUAUGGAAAAACACCCACGGAGAUCUUAGAGGGCUCCUUGUUCUGUGUGAUGUUACGAUGAGAAGGUACCUUCUGUGUCCUGGGAAGAAAGCCUUUGCCAAACUCUGAACUUCCUGGGCUUAUGACCGUCAGAAUUAUGAGAACAAAUACCUGUUGUCUGUAAGCCGCCUACUCUCUCGUGUUUUGUUAUAGCGACCUGGAUGGAACAACACUAGCUAUGUUGACACAAUGGGGAGGCGUGUUCUACCUCCCUUCUGAGGAGAUGACAGUGAGAAUUUCAGGGAAAGGGAAAAGGAGCUUAUACACACGACCCGAGGCUAUAAGGAAGGCCAAAGCAGUUCCAGGGGCUCUAGGAAGUCAAUAGUGCAGGAAGUAAGGGAGUGGGGGUGAGAAGUCAGGUCAGAGGUCAAGGUGUGUGUCAAGCUCAGGUCCCAGGUCUUAUGGGAAGUGCAGGGUGAAUGGCCCUCAGUCACGAGACGAGACAACGAGACAACGAGACAAUGGCUCUUCCUGUACAGGAGAUGGAGGAAGCUUGAGGUGGAAGAGGAGCCCUGGGGGGUUGGGGGUGGGGGAGAAGUUGGAACAAUGGUAGCAAAAAGGUAGCCGCCUGAGAGAUGGCUCACCUCUAUGUAAACGCCAGGGGCCUCUCAGCCACAAAAGCAUCUCCUGCAGGAGGACUUAACUGAGGACUACCUGAAAGACCAAGGAUUGCAGGUGCAGACGAUGCCAGCCAAUUGGGAGCUGCUGUUUAGAAGAGACGCUUUCUCGGGACCAAUGGGGGUGCAGGUGGAGGGUCUUAAAGGAGCUUGCAGCAGAGUUCGGAUGAGCUCGCUGCAGCCUUUCUCACCUGCUCCCAGAGUCUGUGUCAUUGACUCCAUGCCACCUCACUUCCAACCCCCAAGGGCAGGUAGGGUCACUCAGUGAGUAGUCCAGGGCUCAGGCAGCAAGGCUAAGUGUGAAGGACAUGGUCAGGGUCUGCAAAGGCCACCAGCUGUUUCUGUGCAGCCCAGUGUGUGCUGGACAGGAUGUCAGUGAGGUCCCAGUGACAGCACUGCUGGUUAACAGAGUCAGUCACUUCAAGCCACAGACAAAGCAAGAGGCAGGUAUGAAUGCACUUCUAACCACCUGAGUCAAGUGCCCCAGGGGGCUUGUGUGGCUACCUGGGAGUCUCUGCUUUGGAGCUCCAGGCUUCCAUUCCUCUGGCGACUGUCCGGGUCAGUGAGACAGGUCUGUGGGUUGAAAUCUCUGACACUAUUAGCUGUGCUUCAUUUAUCUAUUGCUAAUGCACAUAGCACGGUGUCCAGUAGAAACAGUGCUCGGUACACACUGCUUGAGCGACAGCUGUGACCAACAGAGGAGGAGGUGGUGGGGCUAGCUGGAGAGCCACUCAGCAUAGGCCAGUCUCUGGAGCAGGUCCCUGAAGCCAGACCACAACAGGACAGUACAUUUUGGCAGAAAGCACAAACUCAGCUUCCUAGAUUUUUUUUUCCUCUCUUUCAAUUUCCAUGACUAACUGUAAUGAACCAUGGUCGUGUUGAAUGCCUGGGGAAAGGGUGAGGUAAGCAGAAUCCAGUUUUGGUUGUCAUGGUCAACAUUUUUAUUCCUUUGGCUGGGUCUGGCUUUAUACGUAAUUAGGACAUUGGUUAACUACUGAUGGAUGAUUUAUAAAAUCGUAUAGAAAGCAUCGUUUGAAAGACAUUUAAAUGAAAAGAGUAAACAUGGAAGACUGAGGCUCAUAAGGGAGCUAACUGGAAUCUUCUUCAGGAUCCCCCAUUUCAGUAAUGGCGGACCCAUCUAGUUUGAGGCAGAAUCUGUGGGCCAUCCUUCUCCUCCCUCUUUAUCCCCUUGGUCCAGCCCUUUAUCAUAUUCUAUGGGUUCUGUCUAUUGCCUCUCAUCCUUUUUGGGACCCAAGAAGAUCCUGGUACCCGGACCACAGGGACUAAAAUGCCUUCAGAGGCUGAAGCACACACUGAGUGAGGGCCAGUGGCUCUCCCUAGAACAGCCCGAUGUCUAUCCUUGGGCAGUGGAAGACUGGGCUCUUCCAACUCCACAAAACAUAAACUCCCAAGUUUUGAGCUUCUGAAGGAGUCAGCACCAUGUUCUCCCAGUUCUGGAGCCCGAGACCCCCAAUGUAGUCACACUGAAAGUUGGUUGAAGUGGAAACUUAACUUUUUUUUUAGAAAGUUGGUUGGAUGGCGUUUUGUUGAGACAAACACAAACAUUUAGCCGAAGUGAACACAGGUGAAAGGCUAAGGCAGACUUGUGAAGGAACGUUUAACCGAAGCAGAUACAGGAGAAUGUAUGUUCUGCUAAAGCAAGCGUGUAAAAGGACACAUAAUGAAGGAUUGUUUGCUAGCAACAAUGUAUCGAUCUGCCUUACAUCACAUAGUUGAGGUCCAUUUGUUGGGACUCCAUAGAGAGAAAUGCACCAAAAAACUUCUGGCGGUGUGCUGUAGUUUCUUGCCACUUCUGAGGACUUGGGCUGAUUGGCAGAGUGAUAUCAGCUGAGACGGACAUGUGACAGACGUGCUGAGGUGAGACCCAUGGAGGACACGUGAUGCUUGGAAGGAGUAUAACCAGGACUCAAUGGACAGUGACAGAGGCCGAGCUUGGCUUGCUUACAUAACUCAACACUUGUUGAUCUCCAGUCUUUGCUGAUCUUUGCUUCACCAAGAGGGACACAGCCAAGAACUUUUCCUGGUGUUCCUUUUGGCCCUAGUCCCUCCUGCUGACUCGAGCUGAGGCUGAGGCCUGGCUGUCUCUGCUAGGUGGUGCCACUGCUGCUGAUUCAUGUUUGCUAUCCCGACACUACUGAACAGACUACUGGUGUAUCCGUGAAGUGUUUGCAAGUGGAUCGAGCUGCCGCUGCUGACCUGUGAACUGUUGAUUUCCUGACAUAGCUUCAGAAAGGAUUAAUGUAGGUCUUAAAGGAUUCUAGCUAGUCCUUGACAAGGAGUUGUCCAAAAGCAGAAAAAGAUCAGCCCCUUCUUGCUGUCUGUCUGUCUGUACAUCAGUCCAUCUAUCUGUCUGUCGGUCUUACAUUUGAUCAUUCCCUUUGAUUUGCCUGCCUGCCAUGAUGUGACAUAGCCAGGCAAGAGUCGGGGUGGGGGACACCCGACUUUGGACUUUCAGUUUACAAAACUGUGAUCCAGAUAAACUUCUUUAUGUAAUAAA